AAGAAAUGAAGGAGAAAAAAAAGGUGUGGCUUUGAAAGAGGGUGUGUCAACCUCUAUUUAAACACUGUGUGUCAGUGCUCUCCUCUCAAAACCCUCUUCCACUCUCUACCUGCACAAGCUGUUAUACCAUUUUGCCAUCAUGUCAAAACUCCUUACAGCAAUUUGCCUCAUUAAGGAAACCUUUGAUAAAUAUGCUAAAGGAGAAGGAGACGAGUCGACUUUGACCAAGGGAGAACUUACACAGUUGAUCAAAAAGGAGCUUCUCGGUGACACCGCACCAACCACUGAAGUUGAGGAGUUCUUCAGCAUGCUGGAUCAAGAUGGUGAUGGUGUUGUUGAUUACAUGGAGUAUGUAACUUUUGUAGCAUCCUUCUGUAUGCUGCUUCAAGGGGAAUAAUGUUAGCCACGUUGAGUAAGAACUUCUUUGGGUAUUUUAAUUUAAUCUAAAUGAAAACAUAAACUGUAAUAUCCAAUUGGCACUGUAGGCUAUAACAUUACAUUACAUUACAUGUCAUUUAGCUGACGCUUUUAUCCAAAGCGACUUACAAUAAGUGCAUAUAACAGUCACGUCAUCUUCAGAUGUUCUGAGAAGGAAAACUUGAUCUAACACACAAAGAUCAAUCUUUUGGGUUAUUAUGUUGGCUUGGAGGAUAAUUCAAUUGUGAUGACUUUGAGUGCAAAAUCACUGAUGUUCAAAUGCAAUCGGUGAACAAUAAAGAAAAUAAAUGAAUGCUGUCACA